GCUAGAUGGGGAGGUAGCGGUGCCCUGAACCUGCAACCCGCUAUAGCAGGAUUGAAGACCUACGUUGAGGCAUUUCAGCUGUGGGGUCCGGUUCCGGCAAGUGGUGUUGACGGUCGGGUCCUGGGCAAUUGGCCUCUGUGAACCCCGUCAGAUCCGGAAGGAAGCAGCGGUAAGCGGAAGCGCCAAUGUGCCCCAGGGCAGCCUGGCUCGAGCUAACUGCCGGCGUGCCGCCUGGAGCUGAAUGUCGAGAGUAGGGCACGG
rnacentral:SRP_RNA from 1 species